CCUACGGGGUGCUGCAGUGGGGAAUAUUGGACAAUGGGCGAAAGCCUGAUCCAGCCAUGCCGCGUGUGUGAAGAAGGCCUUCGGGUUGUAAAGCACUUUCAGUGGGGAAGAAAGCCUUGGGGCUAAUACCCUCGAGGAAGGACAUCACCCACAGAAGAAGCACCGGCUAACUCCGUGCCAGCAGCCGCGGUAAUACGGAGGGUGCGAGCGUUAAUCGGAAUUACUGGGCGUAAAGCGCGCGUAGGCGGUCUGAUAAGCCGGUUGGGAAAGCCCCGGGCUCAACCUGGGAACGGCAUCCGGAACUGUCAGGCUAGAGUGCAGGAGAGGAAGGUAGAAUUCCCGGUGUAGCGGUGAAAUGCGUAGAGAUCGGGAGGAAUACCAGUGGCGAAGGCGGCCUUCUGGACUGACACUGACGCUGAGGUGCGAAAGCGUGGGUAGCAAACAGGAUUAGAUACCCCUGUAGUC
rnacentral:rRNA from 1 species